GAUGAACGCUGGCGGCGUGCUUAACACAUGCAAGUCGAACGAAGCACUUUAUUUUAUUUCCUUCGGGACUGAUUAUUUUGUGACUGAGUGGCGUACGGGUGAGUAACGCGUGGGUAACCUGCCUUUUACAGGGGGAUAACAGUUGGAAACGGCUGCUAAUACCGCAUAAUCGCACAGCAUCGCAUGAUGCAGUGUGACAAGCUCCGGUGGUAUAAGAUGGACCUGAGUUGGAUUAGCUAGUUGGUGAGGUAACCGACCACCCAGGCGACGAUCCAUAGCCGGCGGGGGAGCGUGACCGGGCAGAUUGGGACUGGGACCAGUACCAAACUGGAGGGAGAGGACGGAAUGGGGACUAAUGCACAAUGGGCGAGAGACUGAUGCAGCGAGGCCGCGAGGGCGAAGAAGUAGUUAGGAACGUAAAGCUCUAUCGACAGGGCAGAUAAUGACGGUAGCUGACUAAGAAGCACCGGCUAAAUACGUG
rnacentral:rRNA from 1 species